AAUAGAUACCCGGGUAGUCCAUGCCGUAAACGUUGGGCACUAGGUGUGGGGCUCAUUCCACGAGUUCCGUGCCGCAGCAAACGCAUUAAGUGCCCCGCCUGGGGAGUACGGCCGCAAGGCUAAAACUCAAAGGAAUUGACGGGGGCCCGCACAAGCGGCGGAGCAUGCGGAUUAAUUCGAUGCAACGCGAAGAACCUUACCAAGGCUUGACAUGCACGGGAAGCCACCAGAGAUGGUGGUCUCUUUGGACACUCGUGCACAGGUGGUGCAUGGUUGUCGUCAGCUCGUGUCGUGAGAUGUUGGGUUAAGUCCCGCAACGAGCGCAACCCUCGUCCCAUGUUGCCAGCGGGUUAUGCCGGGGACUCAUGGGAGACUGCCGGGGUCAACUCGGAGGAAGUGGGGAUGACGUCAAAUCAGUCAUGCCCCUUAUGUCUUGGGCUUCACGCAUGCUACAAUGGCCGGUACAAAGGGCUGCGAUACCGUAAGGUGGAGCGAAUCCCAAAAGCCGGUCUCAGUUCGGAUUGGGGU
rnacentral:rRNA from 1 species